CUGGGAGAGUGGCACCCCUGGAGAGGGUGUGGAAGCUCCGUUGCCUCCACCAUCUUUUCCGCCUGCUGUUCCUGAGUUUUACAUAGUGUCCUCAGCUGAAGAAAGAGGAAGUCUGGAGUCCAUUUCCGGCAGUUAGCAGGGAGCUGUUUUCCUCUCUCUGACAUUAGCAAGAUCAUCAAGGACGCUUGUAACAGAGACGUUUUCAACACCAUGGCAUGUUCCUGAAGAAUCAAAGUUGGCCAGAGAGACUAAACAAGGAUAACGCAGACCCUUUUGUGAAGCUGUUUUUCUAUUUUUAAAAUGCAGUUCAAAAGAUAUUGG
rnacentral:lncRNA from 1 species